UAUGAGCCAGACCCACCUACCUACCAUGAGCCAGAACCACCGACCUACCAUGAGCCAGAACCACCGACCUUCCAAGAGCCAGAACCACCGACCUUCCAUGAGCCAGAACCACCGACCUUCCAUGAGCCAGAACCACCGACCUUCCAUGAGCCAGAACCACCGACCUUCCAUGAGCCAGAACCACCGACCUUCCAUGAGCCAGAACCACCGACCUACCAUGAGCCAGAACCACUGACCUUCCAUGAGCCAGAACCACCGACCUUCCAUGAGCUAAAACCACUGACCUUCCAUGAGCUAGAACCACCGACCUACCAUGAGCCAGAACCACCGACCUACCAUGAGCCAGAACCACCGACCUACCAUGAGCCAGAACCAGC
rnacentral:sRNA from 1 species